rnacentral:lncRNA from 1 species
AAACUCUAGCAAGCUACUAGUUAUCUAUGUGUCUUUGUAAAGGCUUCAUGGUGGACCUCCAGCCACUCACCAAAGGAAGUGUUUAAGGGCUUUGCAAACUCGAGCAACACAGGGAACAUGAGCUGUGGGUAAAAUGUACAACCUCUGCAGAGUGUAAACUGGUAUAUCAGCCGUGCUCACGAUUAUGAGCGGCUUGGACCCUCACAUGAUAAUUGAACUUAAAGAUGAAAAUAAAUCGUGGUUCCUUUGUUUUUAGGAUAAUGUUGGUUCUUUAUGCGUAACUGGGUUGGUAUAAACUUACACCUAGUAAAUAGGUGCUUGGUAAUAAAAUGUGACCAACUAACAAUGCUAACCGCUGAAAGCCUAUCAACCUCUCCUUGUUAGCCUUGCAUUCCCCCCCCCCCACUUGCUGAGUACCAACUAUAAGUGUA